GCCGGUGUGGCUCAGUGGUUUGAGCGCCGACCUCUGAACCCGGGAGGUCACGGGUUCGAUUCCCGAUCAAGGGCA
rnacentral:tRNA from 1 species